UACGUAGGGGGCAAGCGUUGUCCGGAUUUAUUGGGCGUAAAGAGCGUGUAGGCGGCCAGGUAGGUCUGCUGUGAAAACUCGAGGCUUAACCUCGAGCUGUCGGCGGAAACCAUCUGGCUAGAGUCCGGAAGAGGAGAAUGGAAUUCCCGGUGUAGCGGUGAAAUGCGCAGAUAUCGGAGGAAGACACCCAGUGGCGAAGGCGGUCUCUGGGACGGUACUGACGCUGAGCACGAGAAGCGUGGGGAGCGAACAGG
rnacentral:rRNA from 1 species